rnacentral:rRNA from 1 species
GUAAACGAUGUCGACUUGGAGGUUGUGCCCUUGAGGUGUGGCUUCCGGAGCUAACGCGUUAAGUCGACCGCCUGGGGAGUACGGCCGCAAGGUUAAAACUCAAAUGAAUUGACGGGGGCCCGCACAAGCGGUGGAGCAUGUGGUUUAAUUCGAUGCAACGCGAAGAACCUUACCUGGUCUUGACAUCCACGGAAGUUUUCAGAGAUGAGAAUGUGCCUUCGGGAACCGUGAGACAGGUGCUGCAUGGCUGUCGUCAGCUCGUGUUGUGAAAUGUUGGGUUAAGUCCCGCAACGAGCGCAACCCUUAUCCUUUGUUGCCAGCGGUCCGGCCGGGAACUCAAAGGAGACUGCCAGUGAUAAACUGGAGGAAGGUGGGGAUGACGUCAAGUCAUCAUGGCCCUUACGACCAGGGCUACACACGUGCUACAAUGGCGCAUACAAAGAGAAGCGACCUCGCGAGAGCAAGCGGACCUCAUAAAGUGCGUCGUAGUCCGGAUUGGAGUCUGCAACUCGACUCCAUGAAGUCGGAAUCGCUAGUAAUCGUGGAUCAGAAUGCCACGGUGAAUACGUUCCCGGGCCUUGUACACACCGCCCGUCACACCAUGGGAGUGGGUUGCAAAAGAAGUAGGUAGCUUAACCUUCGGGAGGGCGCUUACCAC